UGACAGUUCUCGCAAGGGUGCAGGGCCAGCCGGUACUCUGUGAUAAGCUUGCCGAGAGGACCGCAUGGCAGUUUCUUUAUAGGAGGAAGCGUGCUGGCCUCGCGAAACACCUAUGAGAAGUACGAUGACAGCAGUGGUGAAGACGGAAGCUCUCCAGACGGAGUCCUCCAAAGCGUUGCACCAGGAAUGGCUCUAAGCGGGCUUGGACCACAACAGAGGCCGUUAUCAAGGCUCGGUCGUACAAGCAGACGGACAACACACAAUACCGAUCAUCGGCGUUUUGUGCAGACGACGCAGUAAAGAAGGAUGGGUCUUUCAUGCUGUGACAUGUGAUCAAACCACGGAGUGUGCGAAAAUUGUGCACACGCUACUGCCAUACAAUAUACGUGGACAUAGGUCCUCUGCGGAGCCUAAUUUAUGGGAAGAAUUCUCUGCACUACCACCAAAAUAAAAAUGAUACAAAGAGAUACUUGCUUUGGGCGAACGGUAUAUCCGCUAUAUUUUGUCUAUGUCGAGGUCAUAAGAGGCAAGCCAUCGCAAAGAACGCUACACCCUAUUUCAGAACAUAUAUUUCGUUCUCGGUCAACGUAGCCUUGAAGGCAUGUUCUUUUUAACCUCGAUAUCUCAUUCAGUGUCUUGC